AGCUGUGGUGAAAAAAUUAUUGCAGUUGAGUUGGUUAAUUAUCGUACUUAAAUCUCGCCUCCAUGCACGGAAUUUUAAUGGGGUUAGUAUGCUUUGUACUGACCCAAGAACAAUUCCUUAUGAUGCUCACCAUUUGUGCAUUUCUUUUGGUCUAGGACAAAGGGUAUGUGGAAGACUGGAUUUGAUAUUAUCAUGGAAUGAUAGCUAUUAGCGUGUUCCUGGCUCUCGUUUGCUGUUAUUCCUUCAUAAUUGCAACAAAGUGAGUAUUGUAGGCUCAGAGAGAAAUCUUCUGAAUUUUGUAGCCCGCAUCUUUAUUUUCUUCCUCAACAAUUCAUGAUGUACCAUGUAGUAAUUUUGAUUUUUCAUUCGGAUGUUAUUUUCUUUACAAAUCCGCAAGCAACACACAAUUCAUGUUUGUUGUUUUAGUCUUGCUAAUUCUUGACACGUUCCCAUGUUUGUUUUGUGAGAGAGCUUUUGAUGUCGUAUCUAUGCUCAUUCUUAAAAGAUACUUGUUUGGUUGAUUGCAUUAUGAAGAAAGUAGACCAUUUUAGACCGAAGAUAUGGAUUUAUGACAACUUCGAGAUGAGUUUGGCUGAUGAUGAAACUUUCAAAUUAAUGACAUUUUGAUUUAGCACGUGGUUAGGUUAUGCUCUUAGGAAAUAAAUGUUCUUCUGUAAUUUUAGUUUCAAGUACUUUUGAUUGAUAAUAUGGAGGAUAUGUAUUUAUGGUAAUGUUUUCUAUUGGUAUUAUUUAGGGAUGCAAAUCAAUAUCUUGCUCUGGCUAUGCUGUGCAGUGGCCUAAGCGUUGGACCACCGGGUGGAUAGGGCAAGCGUGUGAUGUGCCAGGGCGUAAUCUGUGUCGCUGCUCCGCAUAGAGGAGCACACCAUCGAGAUGGCCCAAAAUGGAAACACCGUAGGCCACAACUCUGGUGGGGGCCUCCAUGGUUGCUGACGACCAGAUGCCACCAUGGUCUCCGACGUCGUCAUGGCCCUUGCCGCCAGCCCACAACACAGUGCCGAGCAGGGGGGUGUGGCCGGCGGUG
rnacentral:lncRNA from 1 species